CCUGUCUCAAAACAAAAACAAAAACAAAAACAAGACAAAACAAAACAUAACAAAACAGAAGUUCUUUAGGAGAUGGCAGGACCAAUGACUUCCAGCCAAGUGAAGCUAAGAAUCAAAGUUCAGCAUUAUCUACACAUUUCUCCCACGCACAGCUCAAUGAUAAUGCUUUCAGAACUGUGGAUAUCAUAGCAGCCACUGUCUGUCAUUAGGUCUACUUGCUCAAAUCUUGUUUGAUAAAACAGCUGAUUACCCUUAUUCUGUCAGUUUCUUCAUCCCACCAUCCAGAGUUCCACAGUAAUACAAAGCGGCAUCAUUUUCAGUAAAUAUAGCCUUGGAUAAGGCUUGGUGAAGAGGCCAGAAAAAGUUCAGAUGAGUCCAGCUCGGUUUGAAGUUCUACAAUGCAAGUGGAGACUACCAUUUCAGAAGCACUUGAGGUUAUCUCACAAAUAUUACUUAGCAAGACUGUCAGAGCCAGAUUCUCUACAUUUGGACACUGAAUUUCUCGAAUAUUGACUACAGCACAUCAGGUAAAAGCAGCACACCUAAUAGAACAAUAUUCACAUUGGCAAGCCAUAGAGAAUGACGACAAAUACAUGGAAGUAGAACCAUCCCAGCCAUCAGAACUUGAAGCAGACAGCAAGGCUGCCCACUG
rnacentral:lncRNA from 1 species